rnacentral:rRNA from 1 species
CCUACGGUGGGCAGCAGUGGGGAAUAUUGCACAAUGGGGGAAACCCUGAUGCAGCGACGCCGCGUGAGUGAAGAAGUAUUUCGGUAUGUUAAGCUCUAUCAGCAGGGAAGCAGAAAGACGGUACCUGACUAAGAAGCCCCGGCUAACUACGUGCCAGCAGCCGCGGUAAUACGUAGGGGGCAAGCGUUAUCCGGAUUUACUGGGUGUAAAGGGAGCGUAGACGGUUGUGCAAGUCUGAAGGGAAAGCCCAGGGCUCAACCCUGGGACUGCUGUGGAAACUGUGGAGCUAGAGUGCUGGAGAGGUAAGUGGAAUGCCUAGUGUAGCGGUGAAAUGCGUAGAUAUUAGGAGGAACACCAAUGGCGAAGGCAGCCUACUGGACGGUGACUGACGCUGAGGCUCGAAAGCGUGGGGAGCGAACAGGAUUAGAUACCCUUGUAGUC